rnacentral:rRNA from 1 species
UACGUAGGCAGCAAGCGUUGUUCGGAGUUACUGGGCGUAAAGGGUGCGUAGGUGGCAGGGUAAGUUUGAUGUGAAAUCUCCGAGCUCAACUCGGAAACUGCAUUGAAUACUAUCCUGCUUGAGGAUUGGAGGGGAGACUGGAAUUCUCGGUGUAGCAGUGAAAUGCGUAGAUAUCGAGAGGAACACCAGUGGCGAAAGGCGAGUCUCUAGACAACUCCUACAUGAGG